rnacentral:hammerhead_ribozyme from 1 species
AUCUAGCUGAUGAGUCCCAAGUAGAACGAAACGUGCGUCCUGGAU